AUGCUCGCUUCAGCAGCACAUAUACUAAAACUGGAAUAAUACAGAGAAGAUUAUUAGCAGGGCCCUGCACCAGGAUGCCAUGCCGAUUCCUGGGGUGUUCCUUAUGUUU
rfam:Erinaceus europaeus unplaced genomic scaffold scaffold00211, whole genome shotgun sequence